rnacentral:SRP_RNA from 1 species
CCGUGCUAGAUGGGGAGGUAGCGGUGCCCUGUAACUCGCAAUCCGCUAUAGCGAGGUUGAAUUCCUGUUAGAGGUAUUGCUGAUGUGAGGCUGGUCCCUGCGCUUGGCGUUGACGGCUGGGUCCUCCGCAAUGAGCACUUGUGAACCUGGUCAGGUCCGGAAGGAAGCAGCCAUAAGCAAGAGCGCUCUUGUGCCGGAGGGUAGCCUAGCCUGAGUUGAUGUUCAGGAUUGCCGCUCGGAUCUCAAUAUCAAUAACAGGUGCACGG